rnacentral:antisense_RNA from 1 species
CUUCAGCGAACCCAGGUGCAACGGCCGCUCGGGUCCCGGUCCCGGCCGUAGGUGGCGAGGAUCGCCUGGGCCUC